rnacentral:lncRNA from 1 species
GCUCCUCCAUCACAGCUACACACAGAGGCAACGUCAACAUGAAUGGCACAGUAUGGACAAUGACCCUCUAUUGUCGCCAUAGCCACUGUUGCUAUUCCUUUGCACAGCAUGGACAAGAUUUCCUAGCUCCAUAGGAUAUAUUUAUAUUUCAAGGCAUCUCUAACUUCAUUUGAUGCAUCUCAAAAUCCCAUAAGCCUAUGUCACGAUCAAGAGACUCCAUGUCCUGCAGAGAAGCAUCUGAUUGGACAAGUGGAGGUUACAAGCCCAUGCUGCCAGAACUCAGAAGUUUCCUCUUCAGGUUUCUAUAGUAAGAGGCUCUUCCAAAACCCAGAGGACAUGGGCCUUCUGCUGAAGAUAAGCUUACAACAUCAAAAGAGGUAAAAUAAUAAACUAUGUGAGUAAGUAAAUACUAUUAGA